rnacentral:sRNA from 1 species
AAAAAUCAUGUUAAAACUUUAGGAUAAAAUGUUGUCACGUAUAUAUGUCGUCGCAUGUGCCUUAAUAUAUAUGAAAAACAGAAAUUAAUUAUUU